GUUGUGAGGUUAAGCGACUAAGCGUACACGGUGGAUGCCCUGGCAGUCAGAGGCGAUGAAGGACGUGCUAAUCUGCGAUAAGCGUCGGUAAGGUGAUAUGAACCGUUAUAACCGGCGAUUUCCGAAUGGGGAAACCCAGUGUGAUUCGUCACACUAUCAUUAACUGAAUCCAUAGGUUAAUGAGGCGAACCGGGGGAACUGAAACAUCUAAGUACCCCGAGGAAAAGAAAUCAACCGAGAUUCCCCCAGUAGCGGCGAGCGAACGGGGAGCAGCCCAGAGCCUGAAUCAGUGUGUGUGUUAGUGGAAGCGUCUGGAAAGGCGUGCGAUACAGGGUGACAGCCCCGUACACAAAAAUGCACAUACUGUGAGCUC
rnacentral:rRNA from 1 species